GUGCCAGCCGCCGCGGUAAUACCGGCAGCACGAGUGAUGGCCACUCUUAUUGGGCCUAAAGCGUCCGUAGCUGGCUGCGCAAGUCCGUCGGGAAAUCCACUCGCUCAACGAGAGGGCGUCCAGCGGAAACUGUCUGGCUUGGGGCCGGAGGACUCGAGGGGUACGUCCGGGGUAGGAGUGAAAUCCCGUAAUCCUGGACGGACCACCGGUGGCGAAAGCGCCUCGAGAGGACGGACCCGACGGUGAGGAACGAAAGCCAGGGUCUCGAACCGGAUUAGAAACCCUAGUAGUCC
rnacentral:rRNA from 1 species